rnacentral:SRP_RNA from 1 species
GCGCAGGAUAGGCUGGGGGGUUAGGGGUCCCCUGCAACCGGAAAGCCCCUAUACGCCGGAGCCGAAAGCCGGAGGGCGGCACACUGGUGUAAGGGGCGAUCCACCCAUCAACGAUGAGACCUCGUCCCCAGGGAUUGGGGGUGGCGGUAGCAUGUUGUCGGAAGGCAACAUGCCCGCCUUUGCCGCGAAAACCGGGUCAGGCCCGGAAGGGAGCAGCCUCAUCGCGGACCGCCGAUGCUCUGGGGGUAAACGGGGUUAAGAAGGUGGGUGGGCUAAAUCGCCCCUAUACCAGCGUGUCCACCUCCGGUUCUCCUGCGC